rnacentral:rRNA from 1 species
UCUUCCGGGUAGGUAGUAGUUAAGGUGAUGGCUUAACUAGCCAAAAACUCUCGUAGUCGAAGCUGAAAGGUUGAUCGACCACAUUGGGUCUGAAAAAACCCCAAUGCAAGUUAGUACAGCAGUGAGGAAUCUUGGUCAAUGGCCUAACGGCUGAACUGGCAACUUGGAGAAGUGGCAAGUCUUAUUUUGAUUAUAUUACAAUAUAUAAUCUAUAAGAUUGUAUUAAAAUUGAAUAAAGCUUUGUUUAUAUAUUGAUAAUGACAGUAUAUAUAUCGUGUCUUGACUAAUUACGUGCCAGCAGUCGCGGUAAUACGUAAGAGACUAGUGUUAUUCAUCUUGAUUAGGUUUAAAGGGUACCUAGACGGUCAAUAUAUCUUCUAAAAUGUUAGUACUUGACUAGAGUUUGAUAUAAGAGGGCAGUACUUGAGGAGGAGAGAUGAAAUUCUAUUAUACCAAAGGGACUCGGUAAAGGCGAAGGCAGCCCUCUAUGUAAAAACUGACGUUGAAGGACGAAGGCACAGAGCACAAACAGGAUUAGAUACCCAAGUAGUCUUUGCAGUAAAUGAUGAAUGCCAUAGGUUAGAUUAA